rfam:Brachypodium distachyon strain Bd21 chromosome 1, whole genome shotgun sequence.
UACUUACUUCCUCCGUCUAACAAAGUAUAAGUAUGUCUCAACUUUGACUAAAUUUGAAUACAUCUACACACUAAGUCAUGUUUAGAUACAUUCAAUUUUUGACAAACAUGAGACAUCUUUUGUUGGACGGAGGGAGUAUUAU